rnacentral:rRNA from 1 species
UACGUAGGGUGCAAGCGUUGUCCGGAAUUAUUGGGCGUAAAGAGCUCGUAGGCGGUCUGUCACGUCGGCUGUGAAAACCCGGGGCUCAACCCCGGGCCUGCAGUCGAUACGGGCAGACUAGAGUGCGGUAGGGGAGACUGGAAUUCCUGGUGUAGCGGUGAAAUGCGCAGAUAUCGGGAAGAACACCGGUGGCGAAGGCGGGUCUCUGGGCCGAUACUGACACUGAGGAGCGAAAGCGUGGGGAGCGAACAGG